rnacentral:rRNA from 1 species
GCGCGAACGAUCCCUUCGGGGAUCUAGUAGAGCGGCGAACGGGUGAGUAACGCGUGGGUAACCUGCCCUCUGGUGGGGAAUAACCUCGGGAAACUGGGGCUAAUGCCGCAUCAGCUCCUUGUCCUUGCGGGGACUCGGAGGAAAGCAUGCCUCUGCUUCAAGCAUGCGCCAGAGGAGGGGCCCGCGUCCCAUUAGCUAGUUGGUGGGGUAAUGGCCUACCAAAGCUACGAUGGGUAGCCGGCCUGAGAGGGUGUCCGGCCACACUGGGACUGAGACACGGCCCAGACUCCUACGGGAGGCAGCAGUGGGGAAUAUUGCGCAAUGGGCGAAAGCCUGACGCAGCGACGCCGCGUGGGGGAUGACGGUCUUCGGAUUGUAAACCCCUGUCGUACGGGACGAACAACCUGGGGAUGAAUAAGCCUCAGGCCUGACGGUACCGUGCAAGAAAGCCCCGGCUAACUCCGUGCCAGCAGCCGCGGUAAUACGGAGGGGGCAAGCGUUGUUCGGAAUCACUGGGCGUAAAGGGUCCGUAGGCGGCCGCAUAAGUCCAAGGUGAAAGCCCUGGGCUCAACUCAGGAAUUGCCCUGGAAACUGUGCGGCUAGAGUUCGGUAGAGGGAGACGGAAUUCCCGGUGUAGCGGUGAAAUGCGUAGAU